rnacentral:lncRNA from 1 species
AACGCACGGGCAUUCAGCUAGUAAUUUUAGAAGUUUUUGGAGAUGCUGUGUAAGUUGAUUCAUAUUGGACCAAGAGACUGCCCAAGACAGUGAACACAACAAUUCUUCCUUGCCGAUUGAACCCUGGUACGGUAAGUAAUUUACAUCAUGGUACAAACUGGAACCAGUGCGCGCUCACGUGCAUCCGAACACCUAGAUAUCCGCAGCGGUGGCCGGUGGGCGGUGGCGCCUCCACCCCCUCACUUGCCGGGCACAAAGUUGGUGGCAUAGGCCCAUGCGUUGUUGUUGACGGGGUCGGCGAGGUGGUCGGCGAGGUUCUCGAGCGGGCCCUUGCCGGUGACGAUGGCCUGGACGAAGAACCCGAACAUGGAGAACAUGGCGAGGCGGCCGUUCUUGAGCUCCUUCACCUUGAGCUCCGCGAAGGCCUCAGGGUCGUCGGCGAGGCCGAGCGGGUCGAAGCUGCCGCCGGGGUAGAGCGGGUCGACGACCUCUCCGAGCGGGCCGCCGGCGACGCGGUACCCCUCGAUGGCGCCCAUGAGCACGACCUGGCAGGCCCAGAUGGCGAGGAUGCUCUGCGCGUGGAUCAGGCUCGGGUUGCCGAGGUAGUCCAGCCCACCCUCGCUGAAGAUCUGCGACCCGGCCUUGAACCACACGGCCUCGCCGAACUUGACGCC